CCCAAGUCCUGCCAAGAUGAUAGGAUCAGACCUUGGAUGGGUCAGAGGCUAAGACUGCCCCUAGAAUUUCGGGGUGAGAGAACCUUGGGGAUAGAAAGUCUUUGGAGGUUCAGCUGAACAAAUCCCCAUUGUGUGUGUGUUCCACAUUCUCUUUACACACGCAUAUACUGGUCAGUGUGUUGUCUGAUUGUGUACCUCAGCUGCUAGGAAGAGGGCUGCAAUGGCUAUCAGGCAAACAAGAAGCAAUGUUGCUGGAGGAAACCACGCUCGUGUUAUAUGUGGGCAGUAAAGACUUACUAUCGAAACCACACCGCACCAUAUACAAAAUGAGGCAAGACACGUCGGUGGAAGGAGGGGAUGCUGUCUCCCGCCUGCUGCAGCCCUCUCAGAACACUGGCCCUAAGUAGAAGGGUUAAAGAUUGAGAACUGCAGUAGUGGAAGAAGGUUCUUCUCACUGAGAGUGCAGCCUACUCAGUCAUGUGGAACUGAUGCAACCGUGCUUUGGCUGUAAACAGGUCGGCUCCUAAUGCAGCCUCGCGGACCUUGUUACACUUGGAAAUGACCAGAACCAUACCAUUUCUAUUGCACUAUCAUUGCUUUUGCCCUGAAUCAAAUGAGUUUUCUGACGUGCCCUGGGAUUUCCUGCCUAAAAUUGGAAACAGUCACUAAGAGCAGGCAGAGGACUCCAGAGGGCAAGACCAUUGUCAGGCACAGCAGAGCCGAUAGCUUAGUCCACUUGAGUUGAAGUUUGAGGAGUGGAGACACCGGACACCUUCAUCCUCCUCACUCCCAUUGUGACACACGAUCCUUCUUCCUAACUCGAGGGGCAGCAGCCAGUAGCUCGCUAUCUCAGCUAGGUCACCCUCCCCUCAGCCAC